UAGAAUGGUCUUUCUUUUUGAAUGUUGCU
rnacentral:piRNA from 1 species